UUCUUUUUCUUUCACUCUUCUUUCACUUCACGCCUGAAUUGAUUAUUUUCUCUUCCUCUCUAUUUUGAUUUUAUUUCUUUUGUUUUAUUUGUGGUGGUGUUAAUGUUUGUGGCUUUUGGAUUUGGGUGUUGCAGCUUAUUGAUUUUGUUCAAAUUUAUAAAUGGUGUUUGAAGCCAUUGGUUGUAUAGUUGCAGAACGGUGAUAAGCUCUCAUUCAUGAAAGAGGUAGGGGAGAUCUUAGAGCUUGAUGGCAAAUCUGUUGUGAAUAUCCUAGUAAUUACAGAAGUGGCAGCUGAAAUUUUAACAACGAAAAAUGGGUUGAAGUUGACAUGGCCAUCUGAAUUAUUUGUGCAUAUUCCUCCAGAGUUCUCGCAUAAUUAUGCGAGAGCUCUGGAGGAACAUGCACAGUUAAUUCAGAUUAUUAUGCGAGAGCUCUGGAGGAACAUGCACAGUUAAUUCAGAUUACGCAAGAGCUCUGGGAGAACAUGCACAACUAAUCGUCAAGGUAAUUUGGCUUGCCUUUGUCAUGGAGAAUUGCGUCCAUAUAACUGUCGUAAUUAGCAUCUUGCUUGGAGAUUUGAGGCGAGAGAGCUUAAAUCUGUGACCCUAAUGGUAUCUACUGCUACACCUGCAAGUAAUAAGAUGCUUUUCAAACAUUUCUUUCAGCUAGAAUAAAGUCCCAAAAUUUGUUGGGAAUAUGUGUGGCAGGUUUUUCCUAUUUUCAUGAGGAACAGUGAGUUGCACUCUUUAAUGUUUUGCAGGUUGUAUUAUGGUUGCGUUAUGUACAAUUUGAAGCUUUAGAGCAAUUGCACUAAUUCAUGUAAAAUAUUAUGUC